CUCCUACGGGUGGCUGCAGUAACGAAUAUUGGGCAAUGGGCGAAAGCCUGACCCAGCAAUGCCGCGUGCAGGAGGAAGCCCUUCGGGGUGUAAACUGCUGUCAGGGUUCAGCAAGCAAAGGGUGUUAAUAGCACCUGGCGUCGAGCAGACCCACAGGAAGCCUCGACUAACUCCGUGCCAGCAGUCGCGGUAAGGCGGAGGAGGCAAGCGUUGUUCGGAGUCACUGGGCUUAAAGCGGGUGUAGGCGGCUUGGAAAGUGUCGCGUGAAAUCCCACGGCUCAACCGUGGAACUGCGCGGCAAACUACCUGGCUUGAGGCCGGUAGAGGUGCCUGGAACUCUAGGUGGAGCGGUGAAAUGCGUAGAUAUCUAGAGGAACGCCAGAAGCGAAAGCGGGGCACUGGGCCGAUUCUGACGCUGAGACGCGAAAGCGUGGGGAGCAAACAGGAUUAGAUACCCUGGUAGUCCACGCCGUAAACGAUGCACACUAGACGUUGGGGCCUCUGACGGAACCGGCGUCGUAGCAAAAGUGCUAAGUGUGCCGCCUGGGGAGUACGGCCGCAAGGCUAAAACUCAAAGGAAUUGACGGGGGCUCACACAAGCGGUGGAG
rnacentral:rRNA from 1 species